CCUACGGGCGGCAGCAGUGGGGAAUAUUGGACAAUGGGGGGAACCCUGAUCCAGCGACGCCGCGUGAGUGAAGAAGUAUUUCGGUACGUAAAGCUCUAUCAGCAGGGAAGAAAGAAAUGACGGUACCUGACUAAGAAGCCCCGGCUAACUACGUGCCAGCAGCCGCGGUAAUACGUAGGGGGCAAGCGUUAUCCGGAUUUUCUGGGUGUAAAGGGAGCGUAGACGGCGAUGCAAGUCUGAAGUGAAAGGCGGGGGCCCAACCUCCGGACUGCUUUGGAAACUGUAUGGCUGGAGUGCAGGAGAGGUAAGUGGAAUUCCUAGUGUAGCGGUGAAAUGCGUAGAUAUUAGGAGGAACACCAGUGGCGAAGGCGGCUUACUGGACUGUAACUGACGUUGAGGCUCGAAAGCGUGGGGAGCAAACAGGAUUAGAUACCCUUGUAGUC
rnacentral:rRNA from 1 species